rnacentral:rRNA from 1 species
AUAUCGCAGAGUACCGCGCAUAUGGGAAUCUUUUGCCAUGGCCACGUCGUAGCGAGAACAGCGGUUAGAGUAUAUAAUGCCUCUGAGCUCUAAGUCUCUGGUCGUAGGAGAACAAGUAUCGUGUAGAGAUAGGGCGGUAGCUUGAACGGCAUCUACACCGGAAAGGCCAGGGUUAAUAUCCUGGCGAGCAGCCGAGGGUAAUAACUGUAGGGUGGCCAGGCGUUGUCCGGAAUUUAUUGGGCGUAAACGGGUUCGCAGGCCGUUUUCUUAAUUUCGGAGUGUAGACAGCCCGCCUGCUUCAACCGGGGAGUGUUCAUUGAAACUGGGGACUUGAGUGGCAGAGGAGGAGAGGUGGAAUUCCACGUGUAGCGGUGAAUUCGGUAGAGAUGGGAGGACACCAGUUGGCGAAGGCGAUUCUUCUGGUCUGUAACUGACGCUGAGGAGCGAAAAGCGUGGGGAGCGAACAGGAUUAGAUACCCUGGUAGUCCACCGCCGUAAAACGAUGAGUGCUAAGUGUUAGGGGGUUUCCGCCCCUUUAGUGCUGCAGCUAACGCAUUAAGCACUCCCGCGUGGGGAGUACGGUCGCAAGACUGAAACUCAAAGGAAUUGACGGGGGCCCGCACAAGCGGUGGAGCAUGUGGUUUAAUUCGAAGCAACGCGAAGAACCUUACCAGGUCUUGACAUCCUCUGACAAUCCUAGAGAUAGGACGUCCCCUUCGGGGGCAGAGUGACAGGUGGUGCAUGGUUUCGUCAGCUCGUGUCGUGAGAUGUUGGGUUAAGUCCCGCAACGAGCGCAACCCUUGAUCUUAGUUGCCAGCAUUCAGUUGGGCACUCUAAGGUGACUGCCGGUGACAAACCGGAGGAAGGUGGGGAUGACGUCAAAUCAUCAUGCCCCUUAUGACCUGGGCUACACACGUGCUACAAUGGACAGAACAAAGGGCAGCGAAACCGCGAGGUUAAGCCAAUCCCACAAAUCUGUUCUCAGUUCGGAUCGCAGUUUGCAACUCGACUGCGUGAAGCGGGAAUCGCUAGUAAUCGCGGAUCAGCAUGCCGCGGUGAAUACGUUCCCGGGCCUUGUACACACCGCCCGUCACACCACGAGAGUUUGUAACACCCGAAGUCGGUGAGGUAACCUUUUAGGAGCCAGCCGCCGAAGGUGGGACAGAUGAUUGGGGUGAAGUCGUAACAAGUAGCCUUGGA